GGCCUCAUGGUCUAGUCGCAUGAUUCCUGCUUUGGGUAACUGAUUGCAGGAGGCCCCGGGUUCAACUCCCGGUGAGGCCC